rnacentral:rRNA from 1 species
CCGCCCGCCGCGCGCGGCGGGCGGGGCGGGGGCACGGGGGGCCUACGGGAGGCAGCAGUAAGGAAUAUUGGACAAUGGUCGCAAGACUGAUCCAGCCAUGCCGCGUGCAGGAAGACGGCCCUAUGGGUUGUAAACUGCUUUUGUACGGGAGAAAACCCCUUUACGUGUAGAGGGCUGAUA